GGACCGGUGGUGUAGCGGUAACACGCUAUGUCUGAAAGUGAAGACGGUUGGUUCGAUCCCCGCCUGGUCCA
rfam:Gongylonema pulchrum genome assembly, scaffold: GPTH_scaffold0000559